ACAGAGCCCGCAGGGUCCGGAGCUCCGGCUCGCAGCCCCGCCCGCGCAGCUGCUUGGGAAAGCUGCGACCGCCGGUGGCCAAGGCGGAGCGGGAAGCAGAGGACGAGAAUGAAUGGACCAGCGGGACUCGCGUCCCUGGACCGUCGCCAGCAGGUUCUCAAAUUAGGCGAAAGCUUCGAGAAGCAGCCGCGCUGCGCCUUCCACACCGUGCGCUAUGACUUCAAACCUGCUUCUAUUGAUACUUCUUGUGAAGGAAAUCUUGAAGUUGGCAAAGGUGAACAGGUGACAAUAACUCUACCAAAUAUA